rnacentral:rRNA from 1 species
CCGGCUUUCACAAAAUUGACUGACCCAAAUUUGAUUUUCAAGCGACUACAGUCAUAUAAGCAAAAAAUUGAAGGAAGGUUCUAAAAGUGAGAUCCACUGACCUGGUAGGCCAGUAGUAGUCACCAAAAUCUUAACCAUAUGACCUAAAAGGCCACCCUGGGCACACGUACUCAAAUCAGACUUCCUAUCAUUGCGGCGACAGGCGCCAAGGAGAAGCUCAGCAGUGAGGUGAAGUUGUCGCAUCCAAUUAGGUACCAAUUGUACCAGUCUCCCACACGGCUCGCUUCAGCUGACCGGCCACUGGCUUUUCCCAUCUUCUCAGCUCUCCCAGCAGCUUCCUUCCCCUCUCUUGCUUAGGCUAAAACUUCAAGCCAUCGUCUGGAUAUGGUCAUGGCCAGAGCAAAGCAAACCUAACUAUAACUACCGAUCAUUGUUUUAUGUCGUGAGAAGAAUAUAAAAUCUAGCCUUUCUCGGUUCAAGGAUCAUUAAGCACCAGCUUGCUCUUCUCGCACUUGCCGAAAGCGAAAAACAUGGGGGCGCAGGUGCAGCUACGGUUGCUUCUUUUGGUAGCUACGGCGGUGGUUGCCAGCUGCGCCACCGGCGGCCUCGCCGCGACGUCGUCCCAGCUGGGCCGCCUGGAGGGCCUGCGCGUGGCCCUGACGCACGUCGACGCGCACGGCAACUACACCAAGCUGCAGCUGCUGCGGCGGGCGGCGAGGCGGAGCCGCCACCGCAUGUCCAGGCUCGUCGCGCGGACCACCGGCGUGCCGAUGAUGUCGAGAAAGGCCGUCGCGCCGGCCCUGCAGGUGCCGGUGCACGCCGGGAACGGUGAGUUUCUGAUGGACAUGUCCAUCGGAACGCCUGCCGUGGCCUACGCGGCCAUCAUUGACACCGGCAGCGACCUCGUGUGGACGCAGUGCAAGCCCUGCGUGGAGUGCUUCAACCAGAGCACGCCCGUGUUCGACCCCUCGUCGUCCUCCACCUACGCCGCGCUGCCGUGCUCCAGCUCCUUCUGCAGCGACCUGCCCAGCUCUAAGUGCGCCUCGGCCAAGUGCGGCUACACGUACACCUACGGCGACUCCUCGUCGACGCAGGGCGUGCUGGCCGCCGAGACCUUCACGCUGGCCAAGACGAAGCUCCCGGAGGUCGCCUUCGGCUGCGGCGACACGAACGAGGGCGACGGGUUCACGCAGGGCGCGGGGCUCGUGGGGCUCGGCCGGGGCCCCCUCUCGCUGGUCUCGCAGCUCGGCCUCAAGAAGUUCUCCUACUGCCUCACCUCCCUCGACGACACGAGCAAGAGCCCGCUCCUCCUCGGCUCUCUCGCCAGCAUCUCGGAGAGCGCGGCGGCCGCGUCGUCGGUGCAGACCACCCCUCUCAUCAAGAACCCGAGCCAGCCGUCCUUCUACUACGUGAACCUCAAGGGCCUGACGGUCGGCUCGACGCACAUCGCCCUGCCGAGCUCGGCGUUCGCCGUGCAGGGCGACGGCACGGGCGGGGUGAUCGUGGACUCCGGCACGUCGAUCACGUACCUGGAGCUGCAGGGGUACCGCGCGCUGAAGAAGGCGUUCGCGGCGCAGAUGAAGCUGCCGGCGGCGGACGGGUCGGGGAUCGGGCUGGACAUGUGCUUCGAGGCGCCGGCGAGCGGGGUGGACCAGGUGGAGGUGCCGAAGCUGGUGUUCCACUUCGACGGCGCGGACCUGGACCUGCCGGCGGAGAACUACAUGGUGCUGGACUCCGGGUCCGGCGCGCUGUGCGUGACGGUGAUGGGGUCGCGGGGCCUGUCCAUCAUCGGCAACUUCCAGCAGCAGAACAUCCAGUUCGUGUACGACGUGGGCGAGAACACCCUCUCCUUCGCGCCCGUGCAGUGCGCCAAAUUGUGAGUAGUACGUGCGUGCCGGUGUUGGACCUCAAAUACGUUGUUGAUUAGUCGUAGGUGUGUCGAUCCGUGCAUGCGGACGCAUGGAUGCCGUGUUCAUAUGCCAUGGAGCGAUCAAUCGUGCUUGCUACAUUGAAUUAGCUCGUCUCGGUCGCUACUCGACAUGCAUGGAUCGCAGUGUGUACUUAUGUGACUGAAUAGGCCAUGGAUGGAUGGGGAUGACGAUGGAUCUGUGUGUAUAUGACCAACGGUGAUAUCUGAUCAGUUGUAUAAUCUAUGGCACCAUGUGUUUCUUAUUAUCUGGAAUUAUCAAAAAUCUUAUCUGGCUGACGUUCGC